CUGCGUCACUCUCCGCCCUGUCCGCCCUUGAUGUCAGCCAUUUUACAUAGGAAUCGAAACUCGCUAGCUAAAUCAGUCUGGAAUUGUGUCAUAGCAAAUCGAGUAGUUAAAUAAUUAACUGUAGCUUGCCAAUUAAUAACCCUUUUUGUAAGUGGGAAAAUGGAGACUGAUAGCCAAGUUGACUUCAGUACAGAUGAAUUUCCAGAGGGUUCCAAAAUAAACGCAAGCAAAAACCUGCAAGAUGACGGCAAGAUGUUCAUUGGCGGACUCAGUUGGGACACAAGCAAAACUGAUCUUACAGAUUACUUGUCCAAGUUUGGCGAGGUGCUGGACUGCACCAUCAAAACAGACCUGAUGACAGGGAGAUCCAGGGGUUUCGGGUUUGUCCUCUUCAAAGAUGCGGAAAGUGUAGAGAGAGUCCUGGAGCUAAAAGAACACAAGUUGGAUGGGAAACUAAUUGAUCCCAAGAGAGCAAAAGCAAUGAAGGGCAAAGAACCUCCAAAGAAGGUGUUUGUAGGAGGCCUCAGCCCUGACACCCCAGAAGAAGAAAUCCGGGAAUACUUCGGACAGUUUGGCGAAAUUGAAAGUAUCGAACUUCCUAUGGACGCCAAAACCAACGAACGCAGAGGGUUCUGCUUCGUGACGUACACCGAGGAAAGUCCUGUUCAGAAGCUCUUGGAAUGCAGAUACCAUCAAGUGGGAAGCGGAAAGUGUGAAAUCAAGGUGGCCCAGCCGAAAGAAGUAUACAGACAACAGCAGCAGCACAGAGGAGACCGGGGAUACGGAGGGGGCAGAGGAGGGUACAGGGGUCGGGGGCGAGGAGGUCAGAGUAACUACAAUCAGGGUUACGGCAGCUACUAUGGGCAGAACUAUGGAAACUAUGGCAACGGAUACAACCAGGGCUACAGUGGCUACACUGGCUAUGACUACUCUGGCUACAACUAUAAUAGUUAUGGUUAUGGACAGGGCUACGAUGACUACAAUGGUCAGCAGAGCAGUUAUGGAAAGGUGUCUCGAGAGAGUACGACCCACCAGAACAACUACCAGCCCUACUGAUAAAAUGAUUACACUAAGACUUCUGCGGGGACUUCAUUGCAGGCCGUGUGUCACCUGACCAUGACAUUCUCUGGGCGUCGCACAUAGCGGGCAGAGAGCACGGCAUGCACAAGAAAACGCUGUCCUGUGACAGGCUGGCUGGCCGGAGAAUGACCCUAUACCCUGGUGGCAGCUUGGGGGAAUCCUGUCCUGAGAUCAGCUCAUGAUUUUAACAGACCUUCAUUUCAUUGUGUCUGAUUUUUGUAAAUAGUGAGUUACCCCACACAAUAUUUUUCCCCGUGUUCUUCACCCUCUUCUUCACUUUGUAUUCUUAUGAGGCUUUAAGUCUAGAUUUUGUCAAGAUGUGUGUCUUUAUACCCUAAUUUUCAGCAUUUUGUCUCUAUAGAUAUUUGGCCGUUUCUGCUAAGGGAUUAAUAAAGAGAGUGCAAAGCUG